GUCUGACUAUCUUGAACAUGAGGUCAAGAACCAAAUUAUCCUUGAAAACGAUUGCCAAAUAUCCUGUCUUAAAUUUCCUUUUAAUUUGUAUAUUCCUUUUCACCUAAGCACCGCAGAAUGACUUUUUCAUAUGUGGGUAUUAAAUAAAUGUGAUUCAUUUCUCUGCAUGAGAAGAAAAAUAUGUCAGAUGAUAUUACUAUUUUUCUGUAUCUUCCAACCUGACCACUUGUGGUUCUAAAAUAAAAGUCUCCACGAUGUUGAGUAGCAGUUAAGAAUUAAAGUGGUUUCUCUAUUUUCCGUUAGGCACGAGCAGUUUUUUUUGGAAAACAAGUUGUAAAGUUAUUUCAGGGGUAGGAUACAGGGCUUGGCCCUUCUCAAAGCCUGCAGCUUGGUGGCCAAAGCAGCAACAGCACAGUAUUUAAAGUCUCCUGUCCUCUUUAAGAUGUUUGUUUAAAGGAUUCUGGUGUUUAAGGCUCCUGGCUCUG
rnacentral:lncRNA from 1 species